ensembl:lncRNA
UGAUUAAUAGACUGUAAAGGCCCUGUGGAGUAAAUUACAUAAUGUAUUGUAUAUUUGUAUUACAUAAUUGUAUCACUCAAACCCAUGCAGGCAAUGCCAGUCACAGAAUCGGUCACCAUUAAUAAAACUUAUUAGCAAUUUAAAUGAUUUUAUCAUGCAAUCAUCAUCAAUAUUUAAAUACCAUUAUCCCUGCAGUCCUGCAAGAGAGCAAUAACCAAGUGGUCACUCUAAUCAUCAUGUCAGUGUGAAAUACUGUUUCAAUUUACUACUACUUACUGGCAUUCUUUUGCUUUAUCUUGAUAUUAAAAAUCAGACUUCAUUCUGAUAUUUAAUGGCCACCUGUCAAAAUCCAAACAUAGACAAAAAUCCUUCACUAUAUUGUUAUUUUUAUUGAAUAUCCAGCUUUAAUAAGCAUAAAAUACAUAGAGAACAUGUAUGAAUGUGGAUACAGCAGUUAGGAUGUACUCUAUAUUCAGCUUUUAAAAUAUCCACCUUUUUCCUCAACGCGGAAGUAAGCCUAUGGGUGAGACUUCUGUUUCAUUAGCUGAUAUAGGUAAAUAACGAGGAGAAUAACGUGUCAUCAAUUGUCAAUAUCAGGCAGUAAAACGAACUGUUUUGUACAUCUAAAAAUAGCUGGACGCAAAUGAGACCGUAAGUUUCACCCAUAGAAUUGACAAAUGGUGGCGCCCAUUUUUACGUCCUGAAAAAGGUGGAUAGUUGGGCGAUAUAAUAAACAUUUUUCAAUGAUAUAACAAUCAAGCAGUUGAGAUUUGCUGUAUAGUACAUACGUACAUAUAAGUAUGGAAUGAAAUUAGAUAGCACACCUGCUGUUCAAUGACAGUACUGAAUUCAGUUUAUCAGUUCUAUUUCUUUUGUCCAAAUUCAGCUAGUUAAAAGCUUCUUUCUAUCCCUUCUUCUCUCUCCUCACCUGUUUGUUCUAGGCAGAAGAUGAGUUGGUGUCUGAGGAGGAAGAAGAAGAACUCAGAGAGCUUGAGGAGGAAGAGGAGCAAGCCUCAGAGGAAGACUAGUGUUCUGAAGCAGAGGAUUUUGGACCUGGAUUUUCCCACACAGCCUGAAGUGACACCCCACUUGCCCUGGAGUCACCGAAAAUCACCCACAAAUACCUUCUUUGCAGCUUUGCCAAAGCCAAAUGUGACACCACUGCACUGGACAAUAUGCACUCAGGACUCCAGCUUCAAGACACCCCGCCCCUGAUUAAUGUGCCUUUUUGAGGUUCCACAAUGCCUUUUUACGCUAGAGUUGCUUCAGCUUAAGUGGCGAGUUUCAAGUGAAUUUAAAGGGAUGUCUUUUUUCCUUAAUGUACAUAUAGAAAAUAGCUUAUUCUACUACUUUUAAACUAACAUCACUUUGUGACUUUGUUCUGUAGAAUCCCAAAUAGCCAAACCACUCAAAUGUGCCAAACUAAUACUUACAAAUACCUCUGUGUGUGCCUUAUAUUGUGAAGUACACUACCAGUCAUAUUAUGGACACACUUUGCUACAAUGCUAAAAAUAAACUGAACUCAUCUAUUACA